AUUGAACGCUGGCGGCAGGCCUAACACAUGCAAGUCGAGCGAGCGGCGGACGGGUGAGUAAUGUCUGGGAAACUGCCUGAUGGAGGGGGAUAACUACUGGAAACGGUAGCUAAUACCGCAUACCAUCAGAUGUGCCCAGAUGGGAUUAGCUAGGAGGUGGGGUAACGGGUCACCUAGGCAACGAUCCCUAGCUGGUCUGAGAGGAUGACCAGCCAAACUGGAAAUGGGACAAGGUCCCGACUCCUACGGGGGGCAGCAGGGGGGAAUAUUGCACAAGGGGCGCAAGCCUGAUGGAGCCAUGCCGGGUGUGUGAAGAAGGCCUUCGGGUUGUAAAGCACUUUCAGCGGGGAGGCGUUACCCGCAGAAGAAGCACCGGCUAACUCCGUGCCAGCAGCCGCGGUAAUUC
rnacentral:rRNA from 1 species